AAACCAACAGGGAUUGCCCUAGUAACGGCGAGUGAAGCGGCAACAGCUCAAAUUUGAAAUCUGGUCCUCGCGGCCCGAGUUGUAAUUUGUAGAGGAUGCUUUUGGACAGGUGCCUUCUGAGUUCCCUGGAACGGGACGCCAGAGAGGGUGAGAGCCCCGUAUAGUCGGACACCUAGCCUCUGUAAAGCUCCUUCGACGAGUCGAGUAGUUUGGGAAUGCUGCUCAAAAUGGGAGGUAUAUCUCUUCUAAAGCUAAAUAUAGGCCAGAGACCGAUAGCGAACAAGUAGAGUGAUCGAAAGAUGAAAAGCACUUUGAAAAGAGGGUUAAAUAGCACGUGAAAUUGUUGAAAGGGAAGCGCUUGUGACCAGACUUGUGCCGGGCUGAUCAUCCAGUGUUCUCACUGGUGCACUCGACCCGGCUCAGGCCAGCGUCGGUUCUCGCGGGGGGAUAAAAGCUUCGGGAACGUGGCUCCUCCGGGAGUGUUAUAGCCCGUUGUUUAAUACCUCCGCGGGACCGAGGUUCGCGCUCUGCAAGGACGCUGGCAUAAUGGUCAUCAGCGAC
rnacentral:rRNA from 1 species